UGCAACAGUAGCAGCCAGCAGGAUGGAGGAACUUACCAGCAAGAUUGGAGGAAGACAAGCAGGCAAAAGUCCAAGUUUUCUGGUUCUGUCUCCCUUUUAUCUGGCAGAAGGGACCACCCACGUCUAGGUGUCAGACCUCGAGUCCUCCAAGGAACUGGUGUAGUAGCACUGUAGCUGAAGUUUCCAUCAAGCAUAGCCUUUGGUGUGGAGUCCCUGGGUCCAAGCUUUGACUUACUAGCGAUAUGACUGAAGCUCUGAAGCCAGCUUCUUCAUCUGCAAAGAGGGGGUAAUGGCACCUAUAUUCUCCCUCUGCUUCAGAGAGAGAAAAACAAACAUAGAAGGACAAACAGACAGAUGAACCCAAGUGAACCCACUGCGGCGACAGAGAACUCUGAAAGCAUUAUGUACGAAUACUGUUGUCACAAAACUGACCAAUUAAAAAUGCCCAAGUAAUGUGAACAAUUGAGCUA